rnacentral:rRNA from 1 species
AAUAUUGGACAAUGGGGGCAACCCUGAUCCAGCGACGCCGCGUGUGUGAAGAAGGCCUGCGGGUUGUAAAGCACUUUUAGUGGGGAUGAAAAGCACAUUGCUAAUACCAGUGUGUCUUGACCUAACCCAAAGAAAAAGCACCGGCUAACUCUGUGCCAGCAGCCGCGGUAAUACAGAGGGUGCGAGCGUUAAUCGGAAUUACUGGGCGUAAAGCGUGCGUAGACGGUUAUUCAAGUCGGAUGUGAAAGCCCCGGGCUCAACCUGGGAAUUGCAUUCGAGACUGAAUAGCUAGGGUGCGGUAGAGGGAAGCGGAAUUUCCGGUGUAGCGGUGAAAUGCGUAGAUAUCGGAAGGAACAUCAGUGGCGAAAGCGGCUUCCUGGACCAGCACCGACGUUCAGGCACGAAAGCGUGGGGAGCAAACAGGAUUAGAUACCCUGGUAGUCCACGCCAUAAACGAUGAGGACUAGACGUUGGAGGGGUAAGCCUUUCAGUGUCGUAGCUAACGCG